GACGAACGCUGGCGGCGUGCUUAACACAUGCAAGUCGAACGGGCAUGUUGCCUUCGGGCAACAUGUUAGUGGCGGACGGGUGAGUAACGCGUGAGCAACUUACCUUGGACAGCGGAAUAACACAGGGAAACUUGUGCUAAUACCGCAUGAAGUGCUGGGAGGGCAUCCUCGCGGCACCAAAGGAGCAAUCCGGUCUGAGAUGGGCUCGCGUCCGAUUAGAUAGUUGGUGAGGCAACGGCUCACCAAGUCAGCGAUCGGUAGCCGGACUGAGAGGUUGGCCGGCCACAUUGGGACUGAGACACGGCCCAGACUCCUACGGGAGGCAGCAGUGGGGAAUAUUAGGCAAUGGGGGGAACCCUGACCUAGCAACGCCGCGUGAAGGAUGAAGGUUUCGGAUUGUAAACUUCUUUGGCAGGGGACGAUAAUGACGGUACCCUGAGAACAAGCCACGGCUAACUACGUGCCAGCAGCCGCGGUAAAGUGUGUGUA
rnacentral:rRNA from 1 species